GACGAACGCUGGCGGCGUGCUUAACACAUGCAAGUCGAACGGAAAGGCCCUGCUUUUGUGGGGUGCUCGAGUGGCGAACGGGUGAGUAACACGUGAGUAACCUGCCCUUGACUUUGGGAUAACUUCAGGAAACUGGGGCGAAUACCGGAUAGGAGCUCCUGCUGCAUGGUGGGGGUUGGAAAGUUUCGGCCGUUGGGGAUGGACUCGCGGCUUAUCAGCUUGUUGGUGGGGUAGUGGCUGUCCAAGGCUUUGACGGGUAGCCGGCCUGAGCGGGUGACCGGCCACCUUGGGCCUACGGUACGGACCAGUCUCCUACGGGAGGCAGCAGUCGAGAGUAUUGCGCAGUGGGCCGAAGCCUGAUACAGCAACGCCGCGUGCGGGAUGCCGGCCUUCGAGUUGUAAACCGCUUUCGCCUGUGACGAAGCGUGAGUGACGGUACUGGGUAAAAAAGCACCGGCUAACUACGUG
rnacentral:rRNA from 1 species